rnacentral:rRNA from 1 species
UACGGGGGGAGCAAGCGUUGUUCGGAUUUACUGGGCGUAAAGGGCUGGUAGGCGGCCAACUAAGUCGGAUGUGAAAUCCCCAGGCUUAACCUGGGAACUGCAUCCGAUACUGGAUGGCUUGAAUUCGGGAGAGGGAUGCAGAAUUCCAGGUGUAGCGGUGAAAUGCGUAGAUAUCUGGAGGAAUACCGGUGGCGAAGGCGGCAUCCUGGACCGACAUUGACGCUGAUGAGCGAAAGCCAGGGGAGCAAAGCGGG